AAGAGGCGAUGAAGGACGUGGGUGGCUGCGAUAUGCCACGGGGAGCUGCCUACCAAGCUUCGAUCCGUGGGUCUCCGAAUGGGGAAACCCGGCGCCCGUCAUGGGGCGUCACUCCGGUCUGAAUUCAUAGGGCCGGUAGAGGGAACUGGGCGAAUUGAAACAUCUUAGUAGCCCGAGGAACGGAAAACAACAGUGACUCCCUGAGUAGCGGCGAGCGAAACGGGAUGAGCCUAAACCUGGCUGGUGGUAAAACCUGGUGGUGUUGCCAGUCGGGGGUUGUGGGACUUGAC
rnacentral:rRNA from 1 species